rnacentral:rRNA from 1 species
UACGUAGGUGGCAAGCGUUGUCCGGAUUUACUGGGUGUAAAGGGCGUGUAGCCGGGUCUGCAAGUCAGAUGUGAAAUCCAUGGGCUUAACCCAUGAACUGCAUUUGAAACUGUGGAUCUUGAGUGCUGGAGGGGCAAUCGGAAUUCCUAGUGUAGCGGUGAAAUGCGUAGAUAUUAGGAGGAACACCAGUGGCGAAGGCGGAUUGCUGGACAGUAACUGACGGUGAGGCGCGAAAGUGUGGGGAGCAAACAGG